AGAGUGUUGGUAGCAGCAAACAAGCAGACGUGACUUAAAGCAGAUGCAGAGGAAACAUCAGCAGUUGUCCCAGCGGGUAGGGGAUGUUGCCCAGAGCACUGAGCGCAGACCUGGCUGUAGAAUCCAAGGCACAGGAUGUGUCCAGCAGCACUGCAGGUGGAGCUGAACAAAGACAGGCAUUCUCAUGGGGUGGGGGCAGCAUCUCGUGUUCAAGUCCCGUCCUCACUGUUCUGUGAAUUACUGAAUGAAAUGAAUUUCCUCAUGAACAAAGUUCUCAGGGUUUUACAUAAAGGUGCACUGUGCACAAGAAUUGCCUCCUGCUCAGAAGUACUUGAAUUCCUCCUGGUGGCAACAGAAGGCAGUGAUGUGCAGUUGUUUAACACCUCUAAAAUACAAGCCUGGCUGUGAUGAAGUUUCCAGCAGCCUUACCUUCUACUCCAAUUUUGCCGUCGCCGUCGGUGUCACCUGCAGCCAGGAAAGCUUUGGUCUCCGCAGAGGUGAGGACUCUGGCACUCGAAGAGAAGUUCUUCAGAAACAGCCUGGAAUUGAGCAGGGCAGAGCGCUGUGCCCGAGUCUGCUGUUCUGCAGUGACCUCGGCAUGUUACGUCUCUGGUUUUCUAACUUAAACCCACGCCAAGAAAGAGCAACACCUGUUUGUUACAUCUGGUGAGAUCCGCACAGAUUCAAGGAAAGGCAAAGCAUUGCAUCUUGUUUUAAAAAUAACAUCAAGUUUUUUUCUGGGACACUGGGGAUGUUCAAAGGUUUUCACUGUUCAAAGCAGUGCGGCAGCUGAGCAAUACUUACUGAAGCUCUUCUUCUUCAAUGAAGCCGCUCUUGUCCUGAUCAAGGAUUCCAAAAACUUUCUUUAUCUGAUCAGGAGUUUUGCUGGAUAAGCCCACCGUGGAGAAGAAAGACUUAUAAUUGAAGGAAUCCGCAGCUGGAAGAGACAAAAACCUCUUACAUGUUUUCCUUUCAAGUUGCUCUACCACACGUGUUCCUUAGGAGCGCAUAUGCCUGGUUUUAAACAUCAGCCUGCUCCUUUUUCUCCUGUUCCCAACGCAGCUGAGAUGAUUCGGUGGAUACCUUCCCUGUUUAAUCACUCUCUGAUCAUGUAUGUGCUCAUAUGCUCUUUCAUCCAGUCUGGAAUUUUCUGCUACAGUGUACAUCGUGCUAAAUCAGGGCUCUAGCUGUCUGUGUCACAUGCAGUUAAUAAUGAGUAUUCAGAGGGUGCUGCUGUGCCCUACUAACAACUGCUGUAAUUCUUGUUUUAUAUUCACUUAGUCCUUGCUUUGGUGAAGAAUGGUACAAAAUAAAGCAGUGCUCAGCCUUGAAGUUUCUCAUGGGAUGUUUGGGGAACUGGUGUGAUCCUGCUGGGGGGAACUCUGCGAGAAGCAAGGCUGCUCAUUGCUUCCCAAGUAAUGGGGGGAUUCUGUGAGCCGCGGCUCGUUCUGGCAUUCUGCAGGACAAGGCUAACCACUGAAAUCCAUGUCUGCAGCAGGUUCGCGAACUGGGAGCCAGCUUCAUGCUAACUGAAACUGUGGCUCUUACUGCCACUCUGUUUCAGGUAAUGUUACCCACCAAAUAACCACUUGUAAGACUUUGUGAAUUCAAGAAGCUAUACUGUAACGUAGCUACAAACAGAUCUCACUGGGAAGGAAUCUAAGGGGAAAAUGAUAGGCAUGCCAUCUUAAGACAUAAAAAUGAUAUGCAUCUUCUGGCUGGAGAGAGCCCAUUCCUUACCCUGGCAGCUGGAGAGAGCAGAUUCAAUAUCUUUAGCAGAAAGGAUGUCAGUGAUGGCCAUUGUUGAACUGUAAAAUAAAUUAAAUGUGAGCUACUUAGUCAUUAAAAUGACUUCUCUAUCUCUUUCAUGGCUCUAUUUGAAGUUGCUGCAGUGACAGUAUGUGAUAGGGGAGACAUUAUGCAUCUAAUUGUAAGGGGAGUGCACUGAAGCAGAUGUCUGCAGCAGGUGCUUCCACUUAAGGCUGGGUAAUGAGGGAGGAAUUCUGCUUGUGGGAAUGUGGGGCUUCAGGAAGAUCUGACGGCUGUGUUGUGCUGGGGAGCAAAUCAAAGGUGUAUGGAACCACGGAGCUUCAUGAGUUUGGUGUGUGUUUUCCCAGAGGAAUUUCUCCCUGGUGGUAGCAGCUAUUUCUGUUCCGAGGAACGCUGAGCACUUUCCAGAUCUUUCUGAGGUCCUUUGCAUCAUCUGACAUUUCUGCAGGCAGUGGUUGCUCAGUGCUGAAUUUGAUGGCAAACUGCAGCUGUGAAGUUACAGGAGACAAGAGAACUUCUCUAUUAGUCGUCCAAACACAGACAUUUCAACAUGAGGCCGAAGAAAGAUGAUCAUUUUCAGUGUAAGGAGGAAGCAGACACCCAGCAUCAGUUGCGGGAUCCCCAGCAAUGGCAGCAGAAUCAGCAUUGUCUGGGAGGUAACCAUUGCACAGGGAUUUGGAGCACAUCAGGAACAAACGUAAACACAUGAGAUCUGCUUCAGGACUGGGGCAUUUCCAGCUGGUGAAUCCCAAGAACAUGACUUUGCAGUUCACAUUAUUGAAUUUCUAUCACUACAGUCAAGAAGGUCAUCUCAUUCCAACGCGAUGAUCCUCACUAUUGGCAGUACCUCCCAGCUCUGCUUCAUGUGCACAUUUUUUGAGGCUGGGCCAUACAGACAGAGCUGCCACAGCACGGCUCCGAAGGCUCAUUCCUGAGGAAAUCCAUCAGGAAAUGCACUCCGUUCUUACAAUUCCUUCUGUGUUAUAACCUCUUUCUUUGUUCACAUUGCUUUUGCAUGAAUCCCUACCGCUCAUACUUUCACUGCUGUGGAACGCUGUCUCGAGUGAACUGUUUCAAGUGCAAUAGACUGAGUUUGCUGCAUUACUCAGUUCUAAACAGAUGCUUAACUAACUCCAAAGAUACCAGCUUUAGUCUGAAGUCCCCCAUGUUGCUAAACCACAUAUUUUUCCUCACACUGUUUCCCUCGCUGCAAUUGAUCAUGCUUUCUUUCAACAUUUGCUCUAACGCAUGGUAUUAUGCUGAAUUUUAAACAAUACUUUAUGGAAUACAGGCACUAUAUUUACUGUACUUAAGCCCUAAGUAAGUUUUCUUUUACAUUUACACAAAACUUGCUACUUCGCUUGGCUUGUAUGGACCAGUUCACUCAGUAUGCUAGGGAAACAAUCAUAUGGAUUCUGUGAUGUUUUUCCCAUUAAGAAAUAGUUCUGUUUCUCUUAAGUUACUAUUAUUUCUGUUAUCCUACUCCUGUUUUCUUUGUAUAUCGUUCCCAUCUGUCAUCAGCCUUAAGCAAAUCAAAUCGAAGACCCUCCUUUGCUCACUCUAAUGCAGCACCAGCUCCUGUUAGUUAAUGGAUAAUUAAAGAAAUCCAUCUUUCACCAUGCUCCUGUCUUUGGUGGGGCUUUGACAUCACUGGUGACAUUCAUUUUCUGCUUUAUGUCCAGGAAAUUAAAGUCUUCAAUUAAAAGAGGAAUUGCAUUUAGUAUUUUCCUGUAUUUUUACAUCCCUUAUGAUUAUAUGAGCUGGCAGCUGAACGCUUUCCUCAGUCCAAGACGUUUGCUUAUAGCCAUUUGAUAACACGGCUGCCUGCCCACACUCCCGGACUCCGUUGCUCCGCGGGUCCCCAUUGCACUCAGGAUUGUUGGAGAGAAGCGUUAAUACGAAGUUCAAGCACAGAAGCGCUGCUUUUCCUGCUUGUCAAACUAUUCCCCUGUGGUUGUCAUGCCUUCAGUUUUCUUCCUGGCAUCCAAAGCCAACGCAAAUAGGUCGGGCGCUUGCAUGGGGAGAACUAUUUGAGUUAACCUCUUCUCCCUGUUAUUUCUUCUCUGC